rnacentral:miRNA from 1 species
CUCGGGCGGAGGUGGUUGAGUG